GCGGAUGUAGUUUAAUGGUAGAACAACAGCCUUCCAAGCUGUUGGCGGGGGUUCGAAUCCCCUCGUCCGCUCCA
rnacentral:tRNA from 1 species